rnacentral:rRNA from 1 species
GAGUGGCGGACGGGUGAGUAACACGUGGGUAACCUGCCCAGAAGCAGGGGAUAACACCUGGAAACAGAUGCUAAUACCGUAUAACAGAGAAAACCGCCUGGUUUUCUUUUAAAAGAUGGCUCUGCUAUCACUUCUGGAUGGACCCGCGGCGCAUUAGCUAGUUGGUGAGGUAACGGCUCACCAAGGCGAUGAUGCGUAGCCGACCUGAGAGGGUAAUCGGCCACAUUGGGACUGAGACACGGCCCAGACUCCUACGGGAGGCAGCAGUAGGGAAUCUUCCACAAUGGACGCAAGUCUGAUGGAGCAACGCCGCGUGAGUGAAGAAGGGUUUCGGCUCGUAAAGCUCUGUUGUUAAAGAAGAACGUGGGUGAGAGUAACUGUUCACCCAGUGACGGUAUUUAACCAGAAAGCCACGGCUAACUACGUGCCAGCAGCCGCGGUAAUACGUAGGUGGCAAGCGUUAUCCGGAUUUAUUGGGCGUAAAGCGAGCGCAGGCGGUCUUUUAAGUCUAAUGUGAAAGCCUUCGGCUCAACCGAAGAAGUGCAUUGGAAACUGGGAGACUUGAGUGCAGAAGAGGACAGUGGAACUCCAUGUGUAGCGGUGAAAUGCGUAGAUAUAUGGAAGAACACCAGUGGCGAAGGCGGCUGUCUGGUCUGUAACUGACGCUGAGGCUCGAAAGCAUGGGUAGCGAACAGGAUUAGAUACCCUGGUAGUCCAUGCCGUAAACGAUGAUUACUAAGUGUUGGAGGGUUUCCGCCCUUCAGUGCUGCAGCUAACGCAUUAAGUAAUCCGCCUGGGGAGUACGACCGCAAGGUUGAAACUCAAAAGAAUUGACGGGGGCCCGCACAAGCGGUGGAGCAUGUGGUUUAAUUCGAAGCUACGCGAAGAACCUUACCAGGUCUUGACAUCUUCUGCCAACCUAAGAGAUUAGGCGUUCCCUUCGGGGACAGAAUGACAGGUGGUGCAUGGUUGUCGUCAGCUCGUGUCGUGAGAUGUUGGGUUAAGUCCCGCAACGAGCGCAACCCUUAUUACUAGUUGCCAGCAUUCAGUUGGGCACUCUAGUGAGACUGCCGGUGACAAACCGGAGGAAGGUGGGGACGACGUCAAAUCAUCAUGCCCCUUAUGACCUGGGCUACACACGUGCUACAAUGGAUGGUACAACGAGUUGCGAAACCGCGAGGUUUAGCUAAUCUCUUAAAACCAUUCUCAGUUCGGACUGUAGGCUGCAACUCGCCUACACGAAGUCGGAAUCGCUAGUAAUCGCGGAUCAGCAUGCCGCGGUGAAUACGUUCCCGGGCCUUGUACACACCGCCCGUCACACCAUGAGAGUUUGUAACACCCAAAGCCGGUGGGGUAACCUUUUAGGAGCUAGCCGUCUAAGGUG